rnacentral:rRNA from 1 species
UACGUAGGGCGCAAGCGUUGUCCGGAAUUAUUGGGCGUAAAGAGCUCGUCGGCGGCCUGUUGCGUCCGCUGUGAAAUCCCGGGGCUCAACCCCGGGCCUGCAGUGGAUACGGGCUGGCUAGAGGCAGGCAGGGGAGAACGGAAUUCCUGGUGUAGCGGUGAAAUGCGCAGAUAUCAGGAGGAACACCGGUGGCGAAGGCGGUUCUCUGGGCCUGUACUGACGCUGAGGAGCGAAAGCGUGGGGAGCGAACAGG